AAGAAAUUCGGAUUAAUACUCCAUAAUACUAUGGACAGGCAUCUGUUCAUGGUUAAAGCUCCGGCGGUCAGAGAUGGGCAUGCGUGACAUUAGCUUGUUGGUGAGGUAACAGCUCACCAAUGCUACGAUGUCUAGGGGGUCUGAGAGGAUGGUCCCCCACACUGGUACUGAGACACGGACCAGACUCCUACGGGAGGCAGCAGUGAGGAAUAUUGGUCAAUGGGCGAAAGCCUGAACCAGCCGUGCCGCGUGAAGGAUGACAGCCCUAUGGGUUGUAAACUUCUUUUGUACGGGAAGAAACGCCUCUACGUGUAGAGGUUUGACGGUACCGUACGAAUAAGCAUCGGCUAACUCCGUGCCAGCAGCCGCGGUAAUACGGAGGAUGCAAGCGUUAUCCGGAUUUAUUGGGUUUAAAGGGUACGUAGGCGGGAGCUUAAGUCAGUGGUGAAAUCCUGCAGCUUAACUGUAGAACUGUCAUUGAUACUGGGCUUCUUGAAUGUAGUUGAGGUAGGCGGAAUGUGUAAUGUAGCGGUGAAAUGCUUAGAUAUUACACAGAACACCGAUUGCGAAGGCAGCUUACUAAACUACGAUUGACGCUGAGGUACGAAAGCGUGGGGAGCGAACAGGAUUAGAUACCCUGGUAGUCCACGCUGUAAACGAUGAUCACUCGUUGUUGGCAAUACACCGUCAGCGACUGAGCGAAAGCAUUAAGUGAUCCACCUGGGGAGUACGACCGCAAGGUUGAAACUCAAAGGAAUUGACGGGGGCCCGCACAAGCGGAGGAACAUGUGGUUUAAUUCGAUGAUACGCGAGGGACCUUACCUGGGCUUAAAUGUAGAACGACGGACCGGGAAACUGGUCUUUCUUCGGACGGUCUGCAAGGUGCUGCAUGGCUGUCGUCAGCUCGUGCCGUGAGGUGUCGGGUUAAGUCCCAUAACGAGCGCAACCCUCAUCAUUAGUUGCCAGCGGGUAAUGCCGGGGACUCUAAUGAAACUGCCGGUGUAAACCGAGAGGAAGGUGGGGAUGACGUCAAGUCAGCACGGCCCUUAUGUCCAGGGCUACACACGUGUUACAAUGGUCGGUACAAAGGGCAGCUACCUGGCGACAGGAUGCUAAUCUCGAAAACCGAUCUCAGUUCGGAUCGAAGUCUGCAACUCGACUUCGUAAAGCUGGAUUCGCU
rnacentral:rRNA from 1 species